GACGAACGCUGGCGGCGUGCUUAAUACAUGCAAGUCGAACGCAGUGGGGACGGGUGAGUAACACGUGGGUAAUCUCCCAGCAGAGGGGAUAACACUUGGAAACAGGUGCUAAACCGACACUGAUGGAUGGACUCGUGGUGGAUUAGCUAGUUGGUGAGGUAACGGGUCAUCAAGGCUCCGAUGCAUAGCCGACCUGAGAGGUUGAUCGGCCACACUGGGACUGAGACACGGCCCAGACUCCUACGGGAGGCAGCAGUAGGGAAUCUUCGGCAAUGGGCGAAAGUCUGACCGAGCAACGCCGCGUGAAUGAAGAAGGUUUUCGGAUCGUAAAGCUCUGUUGUUAGAGAAGCGGUAUCUAACCAGAAAGCCACGGCUAACUACGUGCCAGCAGCCGCGGUAAUAC
rnacentral:rRNA from 1 species